UACGAUGGGGGCUAGCGUUGUUCGGAAUUACUGGGCGUAAAGCGCACGUAGGCGGGUCGUUAAGUUAGAGGUGAAAUCCCGGGGCUCAACCCCGGAACUGCCUUUGAUACUGGCGAUCUAGAGGUCGAGAGAGGUGAGUGGAAUUCCGAGUGUAGAGGUGAAAUUCGUAGAUAUUCGGAAGAACACCAGUGGCGAAGGCGGCUCACUGGCUCGAUACUGACGCUGAGGUGCGAAAGCGUGGGGAGCAAACAGG
rnacentral:rRNA from 1 species